GCUGGGUAUGGUUGCACAUGCCUGUAGUCCCAGCUACUCAGGAGGCUGAGGUGGGAGGAUUGCUUGAGCCCAGGAGUUCUGGGCUGUAGUGCGCUAUGCCGAUCGGGUGUCUGCACUAAGUUUGGCAUCAAUAUGGUGACCUUCUGGGAGUGGGAGACCACCAGCUUGCCUAAGGAGGGGUGAACUGGCCCAAGUUGGAAAUGGAGCAGGUCAGAAACCUCUGUGCUGAUCAGUAGUGGGAUCAUGCCUGUGAAUAGCCACUGCACUCCAGCCUGGGCAACAUAACGAGACUCCAUCUCU
rnacentral:SRP_RNA from 1 species